UACGAAGGGGGCUAGCGUUGCUCGGAAUCACUGGGCGUAAAGCGCACGUAGGCGGACUCUUAAGUCGGUGGUGAAAUCCUGGAGCUCAACUCCAGAACUGCCUUCGAUACUGGGAGUCUUGAGUUCGGGAGAGGUGAGUGGAACUGCGAGUGUAGAGGUGAAAUUCGUAGAUAUUCACAAGAACACCAGUGGCGAAGGCGGCUCACUGGCCCGAUACUGACGCUGAGGUGCGAAAGCGUGGGGAGCAAACAGG
rnacentral:rRNA from 1 species